rnacentral:lncRNA from 1 species
CAGAUUGCGCUAGGCAUGAGCAACGGAGCGGUACAUGUGGUGGAACCCUCUGAUGUAGAAUUGAAAUGGGGUGCUAAACCCUCUCAAAAUAAUGGAUCCCUUCCUUCUAGUUCAUCAAAUCCUUCCUUGAGUGGUCAACCAACAGAGCUACCUUCUAGGUGAUGGUGUAUAUAAAGUAGAUGUUACCACAAGCAUAUAUAGAGAGACAUUUAUCCUCUUUACUUUGUAAUCAAUUGCGUUGAAUCAACUCCAUGUUAUUUAAUAUUUCAUUGUAAAUCUUAUUCCCACUUAAGCCUGUUUUGCUCUCUCGCCAUGUUAUUUUACAAGUACACCUCUGCAGGCAAAAUUAUCACUCGCUC